AGAACGAACGCUGGCGGCAUGCCUAACACAUGCAAGUCGAACGCUCUUGGGGCUUCGGUUCCAAGGGAGUGGCGCACGGGUGAGUAGCGCGUGGGAACCUGCCCUGUUGUGGGGGAUAACCGAGGGAAACUUCGGCUAAUACCGCAUACGCCCCGGGACUUGGUCUUCGGAUUAGGUCUGGGGGGAAAGAUUGAUCGCAGCAGGAGGGGCCCGCGUCGGAUUAGCUGGUUGGUGGGGUAACGGCUCACCAAGGCGAUGAUCCGUAGCUGGUCUGAGAGGAUGAUCAGCCACACUGGGACUGAGACACGGCCCAGACUCCUACGGGAGGCAGCAGUGGGGAAUAUUGGACAAUGGGGGCAACCCUGAUCCAGCAAUGCCGCGUGAGUGAUGAAGGCCUUAAGGGUUGUAAAGCUCUUUCGCCCGCGACGAUGAUGACGGUAGCGGGAGAAGAAGCCCCGGCUAACUUCGCGCCAGCAGCCGCGGU
rnacentral:rRNA from 1 species